GCAGUAAUUUCCUACUAGCUAUUAUGUAUCAACAAUGAUAUUCUUCCAUUAAGUUCCAAUUUUUUCAACUAUCUUCUGUCCUGCUGGGAAGGAUCAUUUUGUUUGAUUGUCUCUGAAUUUAUGUACAAGCCAUGAAAGUUUGCACAAAACUAACUGAAAAUAGAGCGUCUUUGAUGAAUGGAAACUAAUGCACUCCAUCAAUCACCAUUGUAGCUGCUGAGACUCUUGAAUUAUGUGUGACAGAAUUCCUUAAAGAGAAGGUUUUAACAAAGUUGUCUAUAAAGAUUUCCAUUAUUUAUGCUUGUUCUUGAACUCCAUGUCUUGCAAUAGAUUUAUAUCCUCUUUCAUUUGCAACAGAUCAGUUCUUACUUCACAUUAAAGCUUCUUAGGAUUUUUUGGGACAUCAUCCUUGAUGUCAGGGGACUUAACAAAUCUGAGAAUGAUGAUACAUCUCACGGAUCCCUCAUAUUUCUGGUUCUCAAAUACAUAAGGGAGAUGCGGAGUUGGAGUUCAUUAAGCAUGUCUGCGCUGUUCUUGCUCUGGUUCUAAAAUACAUAAAGAGGAUGCAGCAUUGGAGUUCAUUAAGCAUGUUUGUGUUGUUCUUGCUUUAGAGUUCAUUAAGCAUGCUUGUUCUUUCCUCAAUCUAUGGUUGCACAGAAAUAAAUGGGUUUCCAGACUAUUUUAGCAAGUGAUAAGUUAAGAAAGAACAUGAAAGGGAUGGAAGUUAAGCAGUUAGGGCAGAGAAAAAGAGAAGUGCGAGAGAGAUAUGUCGGUCUAAUACUAAUCACCUAUUUAAGUUCAGUAUUUCUAGUAUCUCUCUCUCUCUCUCUCUCUCUCUCUCUCUCACACACACACACACACACACACACACACACACACACACACACCCACCCACCCACACACACACACACACAUAGUCACACACCCCUGAAGUCACAAAAACCCAAAACAAUUCUACAGUCUUGGAAAAUCAUAGUAUAUGCCUGAGUUAUGUUUCUUUGCCUACCACAUACCCCUUUCAUAUUUCUAUGAGCCUGCAGGAAGAGCUACUCAGACGGUGGUUUGUUCAUGUGCAAGAGGUGAAACUUGGUAUUUAUGUCACAUACAGUGUUGAUUUCUUUUACUUGCUAUUCUUGGAAGGUAGAACAGUUUAUAAUGGAAUUAUAAUGAGCGACGCAUAUGUUGCUGUUAACCUUUUUCUUUGCCUCAAAUUGUUCAGCCAAGAGAGAGAGAGAGAGUGGUACUUUGAUCUAUCGGUGUUCUUCUUACUUGUGUUUUCUUUGAGGUUCUCUAAUCUUCUAGAGCUGUGUGGAGUUGCAAAUCUUUCUUUUCAUUUUGUUCUUAUAAAUCUUUUUGAUUGAUAAAAAUGUUUUUUAAUCUAUGGUAAGAAAAUUCUUUUUUCUAUUCAUUUUCAAUUUGUGUAGGUUUUGAAUAUGUCACAUUUUGGCCUGUUUAUUUCACAUAGUCCAGGGGGGUUCUCUUCUGAUUGGCAGAGGAUGCCCUUGCCUGGAAACAUAGCACAACCAAUUUUAUUUAGUAUUUUUAGUGAGCUACCUUUGUAAAGUCAUAUCGAUAUUUACGUUUCCUAACAAAACAUUUGGUUUUGCCCUUUUCUAAUAUCUCGUGAUAUAUGUGACUUAGUGAUAUUUGUCUUGGUCAAUUUUUUUAUGACGAUGUGGAUCAUUGGGGUUGCUGGCACUGGUAGCAAAUCAGCGAUGUGCCAUAAUAUUUAUCAAAGUGGUAAAGAUGGAAAUAGAUGUUAAGGCAUGCAUAGUUGAGGCGGUGAUAUGAUGGAAAGAUUGUUGAUAAAGAAAUUAUGGAGAAAGAGGAUCUUGAUGUUGUAAUUUGUUCCUUCCUCAACCACAUGAGAAAAAUUUCUUGUUUGGAGUUACACUUGCUUGAUUGAAGUAAAGGUGGUGGCAAUCCCUUACAGGUGCUUCAUUGGAAGAAAGAUUUGAAAUCUAUUAAUUCUAUUUUAGGGCAAGAGAAUGCUAACCUGCUGGAGAAAGUACACUCCAUUAUGUAGGAGAAUCUUCAGUAAGGAAGUAGAACGGUCUUUCAGCCCCAGAUGUGUUCAGGCGUAGACACACACAAAUGGGUAGCUUUCUUUCUUCCUAUAUUUAAUUGGAAUGGUUUAUGUUUGGAAUUACAGAGUAGAUGGAUGAAAUGUGUUUUACUCCAUGAGCUUGCCCGAAAGACAUACUUUCCACUAUAAUAAGUUGAGACUUGAUUUCC